UGUUCGGAAUUACUGGGCGUAAAGGGCGCGUAGGCGGCUUGUCAAGUCAGGCGUGAAAGCCCCGGGCUCAACCUGGGAACCGCGCUUGAGACUGGCAUGCUCGAGUUCGGGAGAGGAUGGUGGAAUUCCCAGUGUAGAGGUGAAAUUCGUAGAUAUUGGGAAGAACACCGAUGGCGAAGGCAGCCAUCUGGACCGACACUGACGCUGAGGCGCGAAAGCGUGGGUAGCAAACAGG
rnacentral:rRNA from 1 species